rnacentral:rRNA from 1 species
AACGCGAAGAACCUUACCAAGGCUUGACAUGUCGGAAGUAGUAACCUGAAAGGGGAACCACCUGUUAAGUCAGGAGCCGACACAGGUGCUGCAUGGCUGUCGUCAGCUCGUGCCGUGAGGUGUUCGGUUAAGUCCUGCAACGAGCGCAACCCUCGUCGCCAGUUGAAUUCUCUGGCGAGACUGCCCUACAAAAUGGGGAGGAAGGUGGGGAUGACGUCAAGUCAGCACGGCCCUUAUGCCUUGGGCUACACACACGCUACAAUGGGUGGUACAAUGGGUAGCAAUAGAGCAAUCUGGAGCCAAUCCUGUAAAGCCAUCCUCAGUUCGGAUUGCAGGCUGAAACCCGCCUGCAUGAAGUCGGAGUUGCUAGUAACCGCAGGUCAGCAUACUGCGGUGAAUACGUUCUCGGGCCUUGUACACACCGCCCGUCACGUCAUGAAAGUUGGCAACACCUGAAGUCGAUGGGCUAACCCCGACUUGUCGGGGAGGCAGUCGCCGGGGGUGGGGUUAAUGAUUG